UCCCUCUCAGGGUCGCACCUGGAGAGUUUCCAGUACUCUACUAGUCUCGACUACGGGAGGGAGAGUCAAGCAGAGGCAUACCCAUUCCAUUCCUAGUUUGGCCAGUGGCUAGCGAGUGGAAGGCUAUCUGCUACAAAU
rnacentral:snoRNA from 1 species